rnacentral:sRNA from 1 species
GGUUGUGCCGAUUCGAUUGGGAUACUCAUCAAAUAAUAUUGAAAACCGAGCACGUUUUGCUUGCUAAUGGCGGGCCACAUAAAGCUUCUUUGAAGUGAAGUCUCUCGCAGACCGGUGGAUUACAAAGGCGGUAAACACUCAAAUAAUGAUUUACUCGGAGUUUCAUCACAUCAUCGGGCAACCCCUUUUU